UCCCAACCCACUGAGCCACAGUGGGAACUCCAAGAACACUGUUUAUGAUUCAAGUGCUGGAAAGGUGUCCUAUGGCUCAAUGAGUUAAAAUUCUUAGAACUCUUAGGACAUGGUUGUUACAACCAUGUAGGGUUAAGUCAGAACAACUUUAUUAAAGGAGAAUCAUGCAUGUGUGAGAAGGAACAAGUCCUUGGAAGAGCAGUUAAAAACCAGAGUUCCAGAGUUCCCGUCAUGGUUCAGUGGUUAACGAAUCCAACUAGGAACCAUGAGGUUGCAGGUUUGAUCCCUGGCCUUGCUCAGUGGGUUAAGGAUCCGGCGCCGCCGUGAGCUGUGGUGUAGGUUGCAGACGCAGCUCCGAUCCCGAGUUGCUGUGGCUCUGGUGUAGGUCAGUGGUGAUGGCUCCCAUUCGACCCCUAGCCUGGGAACCUCCAUAUGCCUCGGGAGCAGCCCAAGAAAUGGCAAAAAGACAAAAACAAAACAAAACAAAAACUGAGUUCCCUGGUGGCUCAGCAGAUUAAAUGAUCUAUCAUUGUCAUUGCUGUGGUGCAGGUUUGAUCCUUGGCCUGGGAACUUCUGCAUGCAAUGGGCAUAGCCAAAACAAUACCAACAAAAACAAAAACAGAGCUGCUAACUAGACUUGGCACUUUCAAGAUUUUUUAAUCUUGAGUUUUAAAAUGUUGACAGCAGACCCCUUAAUGAGUAACUUGUACCCAAACCCUAAUGAUCCUUAAUGGUUUACUUUUCUCUGUCUUGCCACCUCAGAGUUCUCUCCUUGCUUGUCCAGCUGCAGGGAAGAUACUUUACCUGCUGUCUCUGCAGAAGAUGAUGCAAAAGAGAACCCAAGGACAUUUUCAGUGGAAGAUAAUGCACAGAAGGUGUACAAUACCACUGGUUGUCAAAGAAGCGAAGCCAGGGUCCCUUCUAGUGGGUGCAUCAGAAGUUAGAGAGAUGAAAAUCCAAAAAAUCCUCUAUCCACAAGUGGGACUUUCUUACACCAGAAUAAAUGAUAUCUCUGAAGGAUCUAUUCUGUCAUAAAUGUUGAAUACAAGGGAAUGAUGAAGGGAUGAAGAUUAGACAUUGGCAUCUCCAUAACCUAACU
rnacentral:lncRNA from 1 species